GACGAAGGUGGCGAGCGUUACUCGGAAUUACUAGGCGUAAAGCGUGGGUAGGUGGUUCGGUAAGUCUGUUGUGGAAGCUCCCGGCUUAACCGGGAGAGGCCAAUGGAAACUACCGGACUUGAAUGUGGGAGGGGUCACUGGAAUUCCUGGUGUAGCGGUGAAAUGCGUAGAGAUCAGGAGGAACACCAAAGGCGAAAGCAGGUGACUGGAUCACUAUUGACACUGAGCCACGAAAGCUAGGGGAGCAAACAGG
rnacentral:rRNA from 1 species